AUUGAACGCUGGCGGCAGGCCUAACACAUGCAAGUCGAGCGAGCGGCGGACGGGUGAGUAAUGUCUGGGAAACUGCCUGAUGGAGGGGGAUAACUACUGGAAACGGUAGCUAAUACCGCAUACCAUCAGAUGUGCCCAGAUGGGAUUAGCUAGUAGGUGGGGUAAUGGCUCACCUAGGCGACGAUCCCUAGCUGGUCUGCGAGGAUGACCAGCCACACGGGAACGGAGACAGGGUCCAGACUCCUACGUGAGGCAGCAGUGGGGAAUAUUGCACAAUGGGCGCUAGCCUGAUGCAGCCAUGCCGCGUGUGUGAAGAAGGCCUUCGGGUUGUAAAGUACUUUCAGCGGGGAGGCGUUACCCGCAGAAGAAGCACCGGCUAACUCCGUGCCAGCAGCCGCGGUAAUAC
rnacentral:rRNA from 1 species